rnacentral:rRNA from 1 species
GCAAUCUACCUUUUACAGGGGGAUAGCCCAGAGAAAUUUGGAUUAAUACCCCAUAGUAUAGUGAGUUGGCAUCAACACACUAUUAAAGUCACAACGGUAAAAGAUGAGCAUGCGUCCCAUUAGCUAGUUGGUAAGGUAACGGCUUACCAAGGCUACGAUGGGUAGGGGUCCUGAGAGGGAGAUCCCCCACACUGGUACUGAGACACGGACCAGACUCCUACGGGAGGCAGCAGUGAGGAAUAUUGGACAAUGGGCGCAAGCCUGAUCCAGCCAUGCCGCGUGCAGGAUGACGGUCCUAUGGAUUGUAAACUGCUUUUAUACGAGAAGAAACACUCCUUCGUGAAGGAAUUUGACGGUAUCGUAAGAAUAAGGAUCGGCUAACUCCGUGCCAGCAGCCGCGGUAAUACGGAGGAUCCAAGCGUUAUCCGGAAUCAUUGGGUUUAAAGGGUCCGUAGGCGGUCUUGUAAGUCAGUGGUGAAAGCCCAUCGCUCAACGGUGGAACGGCCAUUGAUACUGCAGGACUUGAAUUACUAGGAAGUAACUAGAAUAUGUAGUGUAGCGGUGAAAUGCUUAGAGAUUACAUGGAAUACCAAUUGCGAAGGCAGGUUACUACUAGUGGAUUGACGCUGAUGGACGAAAGCGUGGGUAGCGAACAGGAUUAGAUACCCUGGUAGUCCACGCCGUAAACGAUAGAUACUAGCUGUUCGGAGCAAUCUGAGUGGCUAAGCGAAAGUGAUAAGUAUCCCACCUGGGGAGUACGUUCGCAAGAAUGAAACUCAAAGGAAUUGACGGGGGCCCGCACAAGCGGUGGAGCAUGUGGUUUAAUUCGAUG